GGUGCUGGUGCCAGCAGGUGCGGCAGUAGGAGGUGCGGCCUAGCUACAGGUGCGGCAUUAGCAGGUGCAGCACUAGCAGGUGGGGUGCCAGCCGCCGCUGGCGCAGGUGUGGGUACUUCGGCUGCAGGGGGAACAACAGCGGGCUGGUGGAGCUCACUCCAGCACGGCCGCAGCUGGGACUGCUCCAGGUGGUGUGGCUGGUGGCAUUGUAGGUGCGGGUGGAGGGACGGGAAAUGCUCUUCCACCUGUGGCUGUAACACCCUCCGGUCCGGGGGGCAGUUUGGUUCCACGGAAUCCUGGGCUGACAAGGUUGCCAGGACACAGGCCUGGAUUCAGACCAAAGGGGAUACGAUGUGAAAACGCAGCUCCAAGUUCACUUCAAAAUUGCAAAGGAACCGCUUUGAGGUGGUAUUAUGACAAAAAUACACUGAGAUGCGCCCUUCACUACGUUGGAGGUUGUAGCUUUAAGCCUGGCUAUCUCUUAUGUCCCCGAUGUGCGAUCUCAUGUAUGGGUCUCUCGAACGCCAGACAAAUCAGGCAGUUUUGCAGCAAUGCUACCUUAGAGAAGUUUCCCAAACGAGAAUGAGUUUGGAUCAUCUGUUGCAUGAUUCUGUAUGCCCGGUUUCCGCGAAUCGAGUAGGGUCUGACCUUGCUGUGUUGAAAGUGACAAUAAAGUACGCGGAAGAUGCAACACA
rnacentral:lncRNA from 1 species